AUGAACGCUGGCGGCGUGCCUAAUACCUGCAAGUCGAGCGAACAGACGAGGAGCUUGCUCCUCUGACGUUAGCGGCGGACGGGUGAGUAACACGUGGAUAACCUACCUAUAAGCCUGGGAUAACUUCGGGAAACCGGAGCUAAUACCGGAUAAUAUAUUGAACCGCAUGGUUCAAUAGUGAAAGACGGUUUUGCUGUCACUUAUAGAUGGAUCCGCGCCGCAUUAGCUAGUUGGUAAGGUAACGGCUUACCAAGGCGACGAUGCGUAGCCGACCUGAGAGGGUGAUCGGCCACACUGGAACUGAGACACGGUCCAGACUCCUACGGGAGGCAGCAGUAGGGAAUCUUCCGCAAUGGGCGAAAGCCUGACGGAGCAACGCCGCGUGAGUGAUGAAGGUCUUCGGAUCGUAAAACUCUGUUAUUAGGGAAGAACAAAUGUGUAAGUAACUAUGCACGUCUUGACGGUACCUAAUCAGAAAGCCACGGCUAACUACGUG
rnacentral:rRNA from 1 species